UUUGAAGGAUCUGAGGCUUAUUUUCAGCCAAAUUUUAAACAGCUCGAGAAUAGGAUCACAUUCCCCUUGUUUGAAACCGAUUCCCACGAUUCUCAUUCUAUUGCUUCAUUCAUUUUGAUUUUUCUUUCUUCGACUUCUUUCUCUUCUCUAUGCAACAUUUCUGUUGAAAGAUUUCUUCCGGACAUUGUAUUCUUAUCUGCUUAACACCACUAAUAUAUACGAUGAGUACAUUCGAUAUUCUCUUCCGAGUCGAAAGCAUUUGUAAGAAAUAUGAAAAAUACGAUGUUGAUAAACAGAGGGAACUUAAUGCACCCGGCGAUGAUCCUUUCUCUCGUCUCUAUUCUUCUAUCGAUUCCAACAUCGAUACGGCUCUCGAGAAAUCGGAAGCUGCUGCAAUUGAGAAGAACAGGGCAGCUGCAGUUGCGAUGAAUGCGGAGGUUCGCAGAACCAAGGCUCGAUUAAUGGAAGAUCUUACGAAAUUGCAGAGGCUCGCUGGGAAAAAGGCCAAAGGUAUAACUAGAGAAGAAUUAGCAACCCGUAAUGAUUUGGUUAUGGGGCUUGCGGAGAGGGUUCAAGCGAUACCUGAUUCAGCUACAACUGGAGCUAAUAAAAGUGGAGGUUGGGGAUCUUCAGCUUCGAAGAAAGGAAUUAAAUUUGAUACAACAUCAGAUAUGAAGAUUGACGAUGAAUUCUUUCAGCACACUGAAGAAUCAAAUCAAUUUAGGCAGGAAUAUGAAAUGCGGAAAAUUAAGCAGGACGAAGGACUAGAUAUUAUAUCACAAGGGUUGAAUACACUAAAGGAUAUGGCACAUGACAUGAAUGAGGAAUUGGAUAGGCAAGUUCCUUUAAUUGACGAGAUUGAUACUAAAGUGGACCGAGCUACUAGUGACCUCAAGGACACCAAUGUCAGACUUAAGCAAACUAUUAAUCAGAUAAGGUCCAGUAGGAACAUCAUUAUCGACAUUAUUUUGUUGUGCAUUAUUCUAGGAAUUGCUUCUUACUUGUACAAUAUAUUGAAGUGAAAGUGUAGUCUAAACAGUUUACUGGUGCUCGUUUUCCUCUUGGUUGUUUUCCACUAUUUGUAAGUUCAGCGUUGAUCUGUUCUCGACACGAGGAACCUCAUGAGCAGCGAGGAUGUAAGCUAGUAGUGGACAGCCAUUGUUGAGGUAUUCCGUAACUGUAUCAGGGGAAGGGUUUAUUAUUUUCGGGCAUGGCUCUGCAACCUUCGGGAUUAGUCCCAAGGGUUCAGCCUUAUAACUGCUUUGACCUUGCCACAUUUUUCUCUGGGUGUCGUCUUUCUUCCGUACUCGACAAAGUACCCAGUCGUCUAAUUGUACAAUAUUCAAGCAGGUCAGUUAAUUGAGUGUUGCAGUGGGUUGUUAAAACAAUGCAUCAA